UACGUAGGGCGCAAGCGUUGUCCGGAAUUAUUGGGCGUAAAGAGCGUGUAGGCGGCCCGGUAAGUCCGCUGUGAAAGUCGGGGGCUCAACCCUCGAAUGCCGGUGGAUACUGUCGGGCUAGAGUGCGGUAGGGGAGAUUGGAAUUCCUGGUGUAGCGGUGGAAUGCGCAGAUAUCAGGAGGAACACCGAUGGCGAAGGCAGAUCUCUGGGCGUAACUGACGCUGAGGAGCGAAAGCGUGGGGAGCGAACAGG
rnacentral:rRNA from 1 species